rnacentral:rRNA from 1 species
ACGCUAGCUACAGGCUUAACACAUGCAAGUCGAGGGGAACCGGCAUUAAGUGCUUGCACUUUUUGGACGUCGACCGGCGCACGGGUGAGUAACGCGUAUCCAACCUUCCCAUGACUAAGGGAUAACCUGCCGAAAGGCAGACUAAUACCUUAUGGUCUUCACUGACGGCAUCAGAUGUGAAGUAAAGAUUUAUCGGUUAUGGAUGGGGAUGCGUCUGAUUAGCUUGUUGGCGGGGUAACGGCCCACCAAGGCAACGAUCAGUAGGGGUUCUGAGAGGAAGGUCCCCCACAUUGGAACUGAGACACGGUCCAAACUCCUACGGGAGGCAGCAGUGAGGAAUAUUGGUCAAUGGGCGAGAGCCUGAACCAGCCAAGUAGCGUGCAGGAUGACGGCCCUAUGGGUUGUAAACUGCCUUUGUAUGGGGAUAAAGUCAAUCACGUGUGAUUGUUUGCAGGUACCAUACGAAUAAGGACCGGCUAAUUCCGUGCCAGCAGCCGCGGUAAUACGGAAGGUCCGGGCGUUAUCCGGAUUUAUUGGGUUUAAAGGGAGCGUAGGCUGGAGAUUAAGUGUGUUGUGAAAUGUAGACGCUCAACGUCUGACUUGCAGCGCAUACUGGUUUCCUUGAGUACGCACAACGUUGGCGGAAUUCGUCGUGUAGCGGUGAAAUGCUUAGAUAUGACGAAGAACUCCGAUUGCGAAGGCAGCUGACGGGAGCGCAACUGACGCUGAAGCUCGAAGGUGCGGGUAUCGAACAGGAUUAGAUACCCUGGUAGUCCGCACAGUAAACGAUGGAUGCCCGCUGUUGGUACCUGGUAUCAGCGGCUAAGCGAAAGCAUUAAGCAUCCCACCUGGGGAGUACGCCGGCAACGGUGAAACUCAAAGGAAUUGACGGGGGCCCGCACAAGCGG